CACGUAGGGCGCAAGCGUUGUCCGGAAUUAUUGGGCGUAAAGAGCUCGUAGGCGGCUCGUUGCGUCAAUCGUGAAAACCCGGGGCUUAACUUCGGGCUUGCGGUUGAUACGGGCGGGCUGGAGUUCGGUAGGGGAGACUGGAAUUCCUGGUGUAGCGGUGAAAUGCGCAGAUAUCAGGAGGAACACCGGUGGCGAAGGCGGGUCUGCUGGG
rnacentral:rRNA from 1 species